GGCCGCGGGAAUUCGAUUCAGGCCUAACACAUGCAAGUCGAGCGGUAGAGAGAAGCUUGCUUCUCUUGAAAAAAAAGGACGGGUGUGUAAUGCCUAGGAAUCUGCCUGGUAGUGGGGGAUAACGUUCGGAGACGGACGGUAAUACCGCAUACGGCCUACGGGAGAAAGCAGGGGACCUUCGGGCGUUGCGCUAUCAGAUGAGCCUAGGUCGGAUUGGCUAGUUGGUGAGGUAAUGGCUCACCAAGGCGACGAUCCGUAACUGGUCUGAGAGGAUGAUCAGUCACACUGGAACUGAGACACGGUCCAGACUCCUACGGGAGGCAGCAGUGGGGAAUAUUGGACAAUG
rnacentral:rRNA from 1 species